GCCAGGGCCUACACAGGAGGUCUCAGCCCCAAAGUCCCAGCUGACCUUUCUGUUGACACUGAUUUGAGAGUUUGAGGUGUGAUCUGACCCCCAGAGGGGAUAAUUGUCUAUCCCCGGGGAGAACCGGGUCUUUCCUGCGGACAAGGGCAGCAUUGCCUUCAGGGGUUUGCCCUGUGGAGGGACGGACAUUUGCUGGUCACCUUCUGUGGGGCAGGGGUGCUGCAGUCCUUACAAUUUCUCCAGGAAGCUUUUACACAAGUGGAAGUUGGGCUUCUGAUCCAUGGAGCCACUUGCCCGAGGUCACAGAGCCAGGAGGGUGGAGCUGCUGUUUGCGUCUGCUGGCACACUUCUUUCCUCUGGCCUUUCUUGGGGUAACAAACCCAGAGGCCUGUCCAUCUGGGGAGCACGAGACCCAGGCUAACUGAAUCAGAAGACCACAUCCUCCUGACAAAAUCAGAGAGGAGCACGUGAGCGAGCAGGACCCUCACACACUGUGGUGAGAAACUAGAGCUCAGAGAAGUGGUCACAUACCCAAGACAGUGCAUUUGGUGAAGAGGGGAGACAAGAUUUCAAUCCAGCUCUGAUGGCCAAGCCAGGGUUGUGUUUAUUUCAAGAGACACGAGUGUGGUGUGUGUGUCCACCUAUGAUGAUACAGACAGACAAGAAGGAAACGUGGAAAAGUAAAUGUGGAGGAUUGACCUGGCUGGGCUCAGGGGACAUUUGGCUCCACAGAGACGAUCAUGUGCAAGACCUGGGCCUGUGAUUAGCACCAGGAGUGAGGAGUCUCUGCUGUGGUGCAGUGCAAUGCUGCCCACGCCAGCCCAGCUGGCCCACGGGGCAGGGGCGAGUAUGGGGCACGUGUUUGCCUACUACUCCCCCCACUUUGCCCUCACUGCUUUUGCUGGGACUGCCGUUCCAGGGAGCAUCUCAUCACAGCUGGGUGUUCUGGACGGAAGCGGGAGCGCAUGGAGGAUGGAAGCAGAUGCCAUGACCACCAUACCCACAGAAAUCCUAGGCUUUAGAAGCCUGAGGUUAUCUCCAGCUGUGUUGCGAUAGAAGCCAAAGCUGAUAUUCACCACACUGACUUAAGCUUGUGUCUCAUUACUGGACAACUCUGCCUGUGUUAUGAAUUAAUAUUUUUAAUGAAUCCUGUAA